rnacentral:rRNA from 1 species
UACGUAGGGUGCGAGCGUUGUCCGGAAUUAUUGGGCGUAAAGGGCUCGUAGGCGGUUUGUCGCGUCGGGAGUGAAAACUUAGGGCUUAACCCUGAGCCUGCUUCCGAUACGGGCAGACUAGAGGUAUGCAGGGGAGAACGGAAUUCCUGGUGUAGCGGUGAAAUGCGCAGAUAUCAGGAGGAACACCGGUGGCGAAGGCGGUUCUCUGGGCAUUACCUGACGCUGAGGAGCGAAAGUGUGGGGAGCGAACAGG